rnacentral:lncRNA from 1 species
AAUGAAGGUUUGACCGGGCCUACAAGGCUUUUACCGAGCUCACCAAGUAUAUUCGGACCGACAACCGGGCCCAUCGGCCAGGAGCAGAGUACUAUGGGAAUUGAAUCGGAACUGACAACCGAGGUGGAGAAUCCUAUUUAUGCUGGUCGAAAUGGCUGUAAACAAGCGAGGUGGGACUAAACUCCCUACUCGCUUCGCGGAAGCUCGCACUAAGGACCACUACUGGCGGUGAAAACGCAAGCACCGCCACUGGUGCCAAGCACGAGUGGCGGUGAAACAUAGCAAACGACCACUAGUACUAAGCACGAGUGGCGGUGCGGGCAACUAAAACCGCCACUAGUAUGAUUUUUUCUUUUCUCGCAUAUUUUUUCCUGUCAUUUUUUUCUGCUAUUUUUUUAUUUUUAUUUGAAUAAUAGGAAGUUUGAGAGAGAACUCACCCAAAACUUUAGAAAUUUUGGUAUAAAUUCGUAAGCCACUGAUCUAGUGGCGGUGAGGACAUAGCAACCCGCCACUACUAUUGAGCACAAGUGGUGGUGCUUGCAACUAAAUCCGCCACUGUUAUGAUUCACAGGAACAUUGGAGACCCUAAGUUUGUGUACCACGUAUCGGUGGCGGUUCUCACGACAAAAAAGGCCACUGGUAUGGUUCUCACGACAAAGACCGCCACUAGUGCUGUCGUGCUAUAAGUAGAUAGCGACGGGACUUGGCGAAAUUUCGAACACUCGCCCGCGCGUCUCUCAGAUCAGCAGCGGCUUAGCUAACUCUAACGCAGGUGAAGCCCUGCCUCGUCGCCGCCGCC